ensembl:lncRNA
UAGAUUUGCUUUGAUAGAUACUUCUAAGCUGCUCUCCCGCGUUACUGUGCUCUUUACGCUCCUGGUCCAUGUCUUGCCAAGAAGGGGAGCUGCAGUUGUUGGGGAAAUAUAACUGAAAACGAAAUCUCCUCCCAGCCCAGAAAACCUCUCUACAAAAGGAGAAGAGAAAGAAAGCAGUUUUAUUAUUGAAUAAGCACGAAGCCAGAAUGUGGUCAUCGCAACAAUGGUAAUUGGUCACUGGGGUGACCAUCUGUGUUAGCCUGUUGGCUUUAUCCAAAGGAAAAGCAAACUUAAAUCUUGAUGGCAGGAGGUCGUUUUGUAAGUUGGUGUGAGGCUCCCCCCAAAGUCUGGCUCCUCCCCUUCCACAGAAACUAGGAGAUAGGGGCUCUAUGUCCCUUUAUAAUGACGUUUCAAAGAGAUGGUCCCUGAGAAAGCUGGUGAGAGGCUCAUUUAGCUUUAAAAAAGAUUUACAUACAUAUCAAAGAGUCAUAGAAAGAACUUGCAAGUUUCCAAAUAUAAAUACUCUCAGAAAAGGGGCAGGAGAGGGUCGGGACAGGGAGAGUCACUUCCCUUAUUUUCAACAGGGAGAAUUAAGUCUUGUUUUUCAUUUGUAUUUGUCCUUUCUGUCAACGCUGGGUAAACAUUUGCCUACGCGUCCAAGGGAGAAUAUAGAGAAGCCUGUUCUCGGGAGCAUGGCUUGGGGAUACAUGUGAAAAAAAAAGAAUUGGCAAUCUAAAUGCUCAUCUGUAGGGGCAAAAUAAAAUGGACAAUUGCAUACUCAUACAAGGAGAUACAGCAGUACAGUAACAUUUCCAUAAAAAUACGUAUUAAGAAUUUAAAGGCUGUGUGAACCAUUCAGAAAGAUUAAUGCCAAACUCCUGAUUACAAUUGCCUCAGGUAAGGGCUAGAAUUGUGGAUGCUGGUCACGGCCGACUUGAGCUUUUAAGAUAAUGUUUACAUUUUUAUGAUACAGUUCGUUUUACACCAGUCAGUAUGUUUCCUACGCUAUCCCUGAAAUGAACAGGAGCAUUCCCAUUUGCAACAUAAUACUUUAAAAAAUAAAAGCGGCUUUGAAUUAGCUUUACUUUUUUACGACAUUUAAUAACAUCACCUAUGAUUUUGCCCUUCUUGGAUCUUUCAUAUAUUAGUUUACUUGCUAAAUCAGUUAACCUUCCUAAGAACAAUAGCUGGAAUUAGUCAACUCAGAGUUAAAAAUGGACAUCUGCAUUUGCGUGGGGUGAAUUUUUGUUGCUGCCCACUCUAGCCAGUGUUGAAGAAUAGACAAUCGUGUAAUUUAAAGAAGAGGCUUUAUAUGCAUGUGAAACCAUAUGAACUACCCAUAUCUUUCAUACAGCUCUUUGCUUUGAAAGAUGAAUACAUGAAGCCGCCAUUCUCCUUGUUUCUGAUUCUCCAAGUAGUGUGAGCAUGGUGGGAGGAGGAGGUGAUAUAAGCUAGAGUUACAUAUAAAAUGCUGCUAGAACAAUGUACAUAUCAGGAAUUCAAUCUACUGCCACCGAAAAGUCACCUGAAUACCAUCUGGUAUGGUCCUACCAGGCCAUUAGCAUCUCCCAAAUCAAACCCAGUGUCUUUCACUAUUCUUCCUACUGUCAAACCUGCUCUAGAGGUUUAAGAAUGUAUAUACUAUAAGGUAAAUAGGUUAUGUAUAUGUUCACUCUAACAUGUAGUGCUGUCUUAUAGUAGUAUGGUUAUUUUGCUGAUUUUUUUUGAACCACAUUAAAUUUAUAGCUGCCAUUUGCCUCCCUUUAUGAAAACUUUGCUGUCGAGUCUAGUAUGGCUUUAGUCAUGCUGUGAAGUUGUGAUCUGAGAGCGUACAGAACUUUAAAGAAUACAGUGAUUGCUUUAAGUGAAGUUUCAUAAUAACAUUGGUUGAACUUGGCUUCAAUUUCAAUUCAACAUACAGCUUCACUGUCUAUCUGUAAGCUAAAGAGGAAAUUCUAUGGAUUUGUUUUCUUUUAUUGAUUACAAACUGAUACUUGUUAGUGCCAAGUUGAUUCUGACUUCUAGCAACCCUGUGGACAGCAGAGCGGAACCCUGCCUGGUCUUUCUGCACCAUCCGCUCCCCUUCCAGGGCUCUAUCGGACAAUGCUCUGCUGCUGUUCACAGGGUUUUCAUGGCCAUUUUUUUCAGAGGUGGCUGGCUGGGUGCUUCUUCCUAGUCUGUCUUAGUCUGGAAGCUCCUCUGAAACCUGUCCACCAUGGGUGACCCUGCCGGUAUUUGAAAUCCCGGGGGCAUAGCUUUCAGCAUCACAGCAACACGCAGCUGCCACAGUGUGACAACUGACAGACACAAACUGAAAUAAUUUAGUGCUGUAAAGUACUGUAGUACUUUCAUACUGGUUUGAUUUAGAAUGAUUUUAACAGCUGGGAGCAGAAUCUAAUUUUUCAUAGCAUAACAUCUUUAACAAUUGAAUAUAUAAUUUCGACUUUUUGUACUACUUGAGCCUAUUUCUAUCCAAUCCUAUUUAACAAGGUGAUGAUUUAAUGAUAAAUUCACGGUGUGUUGCUAAUGGUGUGUAAUAUGUGUAAUAGUCGACUCUGUACAGAAAUGAAUUAUGGUUAAAAUAGGAACCGAUAACAGGAUAGAUACAUAAGCCAUUCCUCAGGUAUAUAUAACGCUAAGCAUAUCAUGUUCUGAAACAAUAGUCACUGCUAACCAGAAAUCAAUUUAUGUUUAAGCAUUUAAAGACCUAUUGCAGUAUAAGAUGAAGACGGAUUGCUAAAUCAAUGUUAAGUUUAAAAUAUUGUGUUCUGAUAUUUUAAAUUUAUCUAUUAAAAUAUUUCAGUGUUUUCUCAC